CUGUGCUUUCCAGUGCCCCAGCAAAAUGUGGCUGCUCCACAAGAGCAGAGAUCCUGCAGAGGAGGCAGUGUCAGGAGUGUCUGGGAGAGAGGUCAGGGAGCAAAAUCUGGAAUGCAUCCCUAUCUGCAAACAGAGGUGUCUGCAUGGGGCUUGCUGGGGCUGUAGCUGGCACAAGCACCUGAAGCUUCCACUGAGAUGGAUCCACCUCAAGCAAAGACCUUUCCCUCCUGGCUUACGAAGCUGCAACACCAGUGAAGGCUGGGCAUGAAAAGAGCUGCAGCCCAUCCAAGUUUUUCAGCAGAGAAGGACCACAGAAUGUGGCUUGGAGAUGCUUUGAAUAGGAUUUCUUCAAGGUUCAUCAUGUCAGGGUAAUGCAAGAUAAGAAUUCUUACUUACUGGAGGACCAGGUGGACCAGGAGACUCUGGGUGUUAAGUGUUUAGAACAACUUUCAGAAGGAAGCCUGGAA